rnacentral:tRNA from 1 species
GGCAUUGUGGCUCAGUGGCAGAGCACUUGCCUGGCAUGUGUGGGGUCCUGGGUUCGAUCCUCAGCACCA